GUGGGGAGUAUUGGACAAUGGGCGCAAGCCUGAUCCAGCAACGCCGCGUGAGUGAUGAAGGUCUUCGGAUCGUAAAGCUCUGUCAGGGGGAACGAUGCGUUCUCAGGCUAACAUCCUGAGGACUCGACGGUACCUCCAAAGGAAGCACCGGCUAACUCUGUGCCAGCAGCCGCGGUAAGACAGAGGGUGCAAGCGUUGUUCGGAAUUAUUGGGCGUAAAGGGCGCGUAGGCGGCUUCGCAAGUCGGAUGUGAAAGCCCUCGGCUCAACCGAGGAAGUGCAUCCGAAACUGCCAAGCUUGAGUGUCGGAGAGGGUGGUGGAAUUCCUGGUGUAGAGGUGAAAUUCGUAGAUAUCAGGAGGAACACCCGUGGCGAAGGCGACCACCUGGACGAACACUGACGCUGAGGCGCGAAAGCGUGGGGAGCAAACAGGAUUAGAUACCCCUGUAGUCC
rnacentral:rRNA from 1 species